UGAGUACGAGAUGCUACGGCAUCGAAGCAGUCUAUGUCAUACUUCCAAGAAAAGCUUGCAAUGUCAUAAACAAAUAAUGCCUGUACCAUAACCGACACAGGUGGGUAGGUAGAGUAUACUAAGGGGCGCGAGAUAACUCUCUCUAAGGAACUCGGCAAAAUGACUCCGUAACUUCGGGAGAAGGAGUGCCUUAUUUUUAUAAGGUUGCAAUAACAAGAUCCAAGCAACUGUUUACCAAAAACACAGGUCUCCGCUAAGUCGUAAGACGAUGUAUGGGGGCUGACGCCUGCCCAGUGCCAGAAGGUUAAAGAAGUUGGUUAGCAUUAGCGAAGCUGAUAACUGAAGCCCUGGUGAACGGCGGCCGUAACGAUAACGGUCCUAAGGUAGCGAAAUUCCUUGUCGGGUAAGUUCCGACCCGCACGAAAGGCGUAAUGAUUUGGAUACUGUCUCGGAGAGGGGCUCGGUGAAAUAGACUUGUCUGUGAAGAUGCGGACUACCUGCACCUGGACAGAAAGACCCUAUGAAGCUUUACUGUAACUUGAGAUUGAAAUUGGACUUUAUCUGCGCAGUAUAGGUGGGAGACGUUGAAAAUAUUCUUGCGGGAAUAUUGGAGUCAUCAGUGAGAUACCACUCUUAUAAUGUUAGAUUUCUAACUUUGUAUCAUUAUCUGGUCAAAGAACAGUUUCAGGCGGGCAGUUUGACUGGGGCGGUCGCCUCCCAAACGGUAACGGAGGCGCACAAAGGUUUCCUCUGAACGUGUAGAAAUCGUAUCUAGAGUGUAAAGGCAUAAGGAAGCUUGACUGUGAGACCUACAAGUCGAGCAGGGACGAAAGUCGGUCUUAGUGAUCUGACGGUGCUGAGUGGAAAGGCCGUCACUCAACGGAUAAAAGUUACUCUAGGAUAACAGGCUGAUCUCCCCCAAGAGUUCACAUCGACGGGGAGGUUUGGCACCUCGAUGUCGGCUCAUCGCAUCCUGGGGCGGUAGUACGUCCCAAGGGUUGGGCUGUUCGCCCAUGAAAGCGGUACGCGAGCUGGGUUCAGAACGUCGUGAGACAGUUCGGUCCAUAUCCGGUGUAGGCGUUAGAAUAUUGAGAGGAGCCUUCUUUAGUACGAGAGGACCGAGAAGGACAUACCUCUGGUGUACCAGUUAUCGUGCCAACGGUAAACGCUGGGUAGCCAUGUAUGGAGAGGAUAACCGCUGAAAGCAUCUAAGUGGGAAGCCCACCUCAAGAUAAGUAUUCUCAUC
rnacentral:rRNA from 1 species